rnacentral:rRNA from 1 species
UGGGGAAUAUUGCACAAUGGGGGAAACCCUGAUGCAGCGACGCCGCGUGAAGGAAGAAGUAUCUCGGUAUGUAAACUUCUAUCAGCAGGGAAGAAAAUGACGGUACCUGACUAAGAAGCCCCGGCUAACUACGUGCCAGCAGCCGCGGUAAUACGUAGGGGGCAAGCGUUAUCCGGAUUUACUGGGUGUAAAGGGAGCGUAGACGGAAGGGCAAGUCUGGAGUGAAAGCCCGGGGCUCAACCCCGGGACUGCUUUGGAAACUGUCCGUCUUGAGUGCCGGAGAGGUAAGCGGAAUUCCUAGUGUAGCGGUGAAAUGCGUAGAUAUUAGGAGGAACACCAGUGGCGAAGGCGGCUUACUGGACGGUAACUGACGUUGAGGCUCGAAAGCGUGGGGAGCAAACA